UACGGGGGGGGGUAAGCGUUGUUCAGAAUUACUGGGCGUAAAGGGCUCGUAGGCGGCCAACUAAGUCAGACGUGAAAUCCCUCAGCUUAACUGGGGAACUGCGUCUGAUACUGGAUGGCUUGGAUUCGGGAGAGGAAUGCGGAAUUCCAGGUGUAGCGGUGAAAUGCGUAGAUAUCGAGAGGAACACCGGUGGCGAAGGCGGCGAUCUGGACGAUGACUGACGCUGAGACGCGAAAGCGUGGGGAGCAAACAGG
rnacentral:rRNA from 1 species